rnacentral:tRNA from 1 species
GCUCUUAUAGCUCAUUGGUAGAGCACUCCCUUGGUAAGGGAGAGGUCUCGAGUUCAAAUCUCUAUAAGAGCUCCA